ensembl:lncRNA
CAUCACAAGAAGCAGCAGGACUCCACCCUCUGCAGACUCAAACUUGGAAAAGUGAAAGAUUUUGCUUUGAGAAGAGAGGUCCAGAGCACCAUGUUACAGAAUGGUAAUGGCCUAGGGAAGUUGAUCCUCAGGAUUUGGUUCAUAGGCACCCUACAGCCAAGAGAGAAGGAAGUCUGGCUUCUGCUCCAAGUGACACAGACCUUGAUGUCAUCCAUGUGCUGCUCGUUUUAGAUGCAUGCAGAAUGCAAGAGUUGUGGCAUAAUGAAUAAGGCUUCCACUCAAAUUUCAGAAGAAGGCUUGGGAGGCCAGGCGGUGAGCUCCUGAGAGGGCAGUGUGUGAGGCUCUGAGUGUGAAGCAGAUGGUGCAAAGUCGAUCCCAGAAGUUUGCAGAAGCCAGGAACAUGGGUCAUUUGGGCAAAACUGCAAGGAGGGAGCAGAACUGGCUCAAAAGCAAAGUCAUGAGAGCUACAACCACAAAAAGUGAUGUAGGGGUAUGCUCACCUAAACCAUUUGAAGUUCACAACUUGCCACAGCUUGUUUCUGAUGCUGGAAGUGAAACUGUGAGAUUUAAUGUUUGCCUUGUUGGAUUUUGUUUUGCUUUGUUCCCGUACCUUUCUAUCCCCGUUUGUAACUUUUGGAAUGGAAAUGUCUAUUUUGUGCUAUUGAAUGUUGGAAGUGUUUAACUUUCUUUUCAUUUGUACAGGGGCUUGCAGCUAAGAGUUUGCCUUGAAUCUCAGAGGAGAUAUUGGGCUUGGACUUUUCAGCAGUGCUGAACCUGUUAGGACUUUGGCAAUUCUUACAGAUGGACUAAAUGCCUUAAAUGCUUAAAGAAAUGUAAAUGAGUCUUUGGGAGUCAGGAGUGGAAUGUAAUGGUUUAGGUCUAGAUGUCCUCUCAAAUUCUCAUGCACUCAUAGGUGGCUUUUUCAGAGGUGGCUCAAUCUAGAGUAAAUGAUGCUGAGAUUAAGGCCGUGUAAUUACUAAAUCACUACAUUGAUUGAUUUGGCACUGCCCUAAUCCCAGUAGUCUGGUUAACAUAAAAGGGGCAGAAAGACACAGUUAAGUUCCCUUGUUGCUUUCUGCGUCCAUGAACUGUUGCCCCUCUGGCAUGUACCACCCUUCCUUGGUGCCAGGUGAUUAUGCACUGAUACCUCUACAAACUGAGCUAAAGAAACCCUUUCCCCUUUAACUUUGAAUGUCAGGUAUUUUGUCUCAGAAACAAGAGAAAAAUAACUAAGACAAUUAUCAAUAAUGUGUAGUCUUGACUAGUAUUUAGUACAUCAUGAGCUAUAUAUUUUAGGGUUAAAAUUAUAGUAUAUUUGAUUUUUAAAGAAAGUUUGCUUUUUCUAAACAAAGUUUUAAUCAAGAGAAAAGACUAGACAUAGCUACAUGUAGUUAUAAGUGGGCUUUUUUUCUGUUAUAGGAAAUGUGUGUGUGUGUGUGUGUGUGUGUGUGUGUGUACUUUGGUUCUUUUAUCACAAAGGAAUGCAUUUACAUAUCUAAAUAUAAUUUUAACCACACUGAAACUAUAUCCUGAGAAGAGUCUUCCAUAUUCCUUUGAUACAUGUGGUAGAUAUGGAUGGUACUAAUUAGCAUAGUUAUUGCUAUAAAUGACAUGUCAGUCUAGGACAACAAAAAGUAUUUGUUACGGAUGUCAAUCAUUCAUCCUUUGUCAGUUCAAAAGGCUUCCCUAAAGGAAUGUGCAUUGAUCUGCACUGACCCAAAACACUGCAAAACCAUUUCUCUGUUCUAGAUACUAAAGGAAAACUCCCAGUGUUUGAGCAACCAUAUGGAAAUAUUCAUCUAGAAAGUGAAUGUUGAUAAAUUUUAGUAGUAAGGCUUUUAAAUUAGGUCAAGAUUGAGCCUUUGAAAAACAAAUCAGAACAGUUUUCUGUAAUUCUAAAAUUUAAUCUUGAAUGAGGAUUGUCUCUCAAUAGCGUUUGUCUUUAAUAAUCAAUUCUGUUUCUGUUGCAUCUUGAAGUAAUUUUGAGUUAAGUCAGGUAAAUGAUUGCAAAUACUGCUUACAUUGGUUAGAACAGAGGGGAUCACCUAAGUGCCACUCAUGAUCAGAUAAAUGGUUUAGAGAUGUGAUCUUUCCCCCACAUAUAUUUUAGUUUUUGUACUUAGUUAUUCUGAUACUGAUUUACUACAUUUGUUUACUUUGCUUCCACGAUAUUUUAAAAAAUGACCACUAGUGUAACAUUUUAAUUUUCUGAGCACAAACUGAGAUUAAAGUGUUAUUGAGCAUAUUUCAAACCCCAAAUAUAUAUAUUUUAUUUCCAGCUUUGCUCUAAAUAUUUUUCCCUAUAAAUUGUAAAUUAUACUUUAGUAAGAAAUAGUAUGAGUGAUUUUAAAGUAAGACUUAGCGGUGUCUGGAAUAUGGCACAAUUUGAGGAGAUUAAGCUUAAUCCUUAAUUUUAGUGAGGCAGAAAAUUGCCUAUUAUAAGAAGCCUACAUUUUUAUAAGUUAUAUAAUAUAUUUAAUUCUGUUAGACUUAUAUUUAUAUCACCAAAGUCAAGUGCUCAUACACUACAUUUCUGUGUCCUUGUAAGGAAAGGUAAGAUACGGUGUAUUUUAACAUCUAAUAGAUUUGUUAGAGAAUUAAGGUGAAACCCGAUUUAAAGCACACACAUGUAAUGUACUUCAAUUUUCCCAGUAUACCUUGUUUGAACAGCAGGUUUCUAACUCCUGUACCGUUUUAAAAAUUCUUCAGGUUUCUUGCUGUGCUACGGACCCUGUUUCUGAUUUGUUUCACGCUCCCCAAAUCAUCUCUUUUUAUUAUUCCAUUAAAUUUUUAAGAAGGAUUUUCCUCUACAUUUUUCUAAUCAUCCUGUAAUUCUUUAGCCCUAAAGCAUUAAAAUGAAUGAGUAAAAAUAUUUGAUACCUAAUCGUCUCUGCCAGUCCAUUCAAACUCUUGGAUUUGCAAAAUUAUGUUAGUCUUUUAAAAAUACACUUGAGUAGGCUUUUGUAGUCAUUUGGAUUUUGAAUAUUAAUUUUCUCUUGCUAUGCUGCCUUGCAAUAAAAAAUGAAACAGAAGAUAGUUGUGUUUCUUUUUAUAGUGUUAAAGUAGUAGAUGUAUUUAUUAUAAUGUUUAAUGAGGCAAUUCCUAUUUUUUCUGAUUACCUUAGAUCCAAAAGAAAAUAAGAGAAAGCUCCUUCCCCCCAACACAGUAAAAGAAAAAGUUUGGUACAGUUUAUACUAAUGAUUAAAAGUAUAAUUUCCCUCUAGAUCAAACAAAUAAUUGAAGUGUGUUGAAGCUUUGUCCUGACUUAUUCUGAAAGUAGAAGCAUACCUGGGAGAAAGGAGGAUUGUAAGGACAAAGAAUAAGUCCUCAAACCUGGGAGAGGGAAUUAAAGACUAACCCUCUAAAUAUACAACAUCAAAAGCAUGACCCAUGAAAAAAGAAAAUUGAUGAGUUGAACUUCAUUGAAAUGGAAAAUAUGGACUCUGAGAAUGCCACCCUUAAGAAAAUGUGAAGAUAAGCCACAUACUGGGAGAAAGUAUUCAUAAAACAUGUAUUUGAUAAAAGACUUGUACCCAAAAUAGGCAAAGAAGUCUUAAAGUUCAAUCAUUAGAAAAUACAUUGUAAGUCCUCCACUUAUGAACAAAUUCUGUUCUGAAAGAAUGUUCAGAAGUUGGAUUCAUUCACAAGUCUGACAUAGUGAUCUUACACACUUUUGACACAGUUAUACAAUGUAAGGUAUAAACACACACAAAUACUGUUCACUAUUGCACUGUACAGUAAGAACACAGCAGCACAACUGUGACAAUGUACAGCAGACGCAUGAGCUCUUUGUGCGAAUUGUUCACAUCUACAAAUGUUCUCAAUGUGAGAUCUGUUCAUAAGUGUGAAAGUUCACAAUUUUAGUAUUCCUAAGUUGAGGAUUUACUGUAUAACCUCACUGAAGAAUGGUAAAGAACUCUAAAUAUGCAUCUUACCAAAGAAGAUCUAGAAGUGAUAGGCACAUGAAAAGAUGCUAAAUAUUGUAUAUCAUUAAGAGAAUUGCAAAUUAAAACAAGGUACUAUUACGGAUCUCUUAGAAUGGUUGAAAUCCAAAACAUGUUAACACCUAAUGAUGGUGAGGAUAAGGAACAAUGGGAUGUCUCAUUCAUUGAUAAUGAGAUUGCAGAACCAUUCACCUAUUUUGGAAGACAGUUUGGCAGUUUCUUACAAAGUUAAACAUAAUCUUAUGAUAUGAUCCAGCAAUUGCACUCCAGAGGAUUUUACUCAGUGGAGUAAAGUCCACAAAAAAUUGCACAAAAAUGUUAUAGCAAACUUCUGUUUUGUUUUGUUUUUGAUGGUUAUUGAACUCAAAGCCUCACACAUAUUAACUACAGACUGGACACUGUACCUCCAGCCCUCAUUCUAGCACCUUUGACUAUGUUAACUUGGUUAAAAACCCAAAUGUCAUUCAGUGGGUGAAUGGAUAAACUGUGACACAUCCAGACGGCAGAAUAUUAUUCAGUAAUAGAAAUGAGCUAUCAAGCCACAAAAAGUCAUGAAAGAUCCUUAAAUGUGUACUGAAGGCUACAUAUAGUAUGGUUCCAACUGUGUAAGUUUAUGGAAAAAUGAAAGAAUAUGGAGUCAUUAAAAAAGAUCAGUGGUUGUCAGGAGUGCAGGAGAGGGAGAAAUGACUAGGGAGAGAGCAGAGAAUUUUUAAGUUAGUGAAUAAAACUCUGUAUGACAUUAUAAUUAUAGAUACAUGAAAUUAUGUAUUACUAAAAUUUAUAAAGUUUUACAAAACAAAGAUUGACUUAUUUUGCAAACUCUGAGCUUUAAUUAAUGAUAAUGUAUCAAUAUAGGUUUACUAAUGCUACCAAGCGCAUCACAGUAAUAGAGCAUGAUAAUCAUAGUGAAAGUGUGCCUGUGUUAGGGACGGAGGAGGGUGGAUAUAGAAAGUAUAGUUUCCGCUCAAUUUUUUUUACUAAUUUAAAAUUGCUCUACGAUAGAGUUUAUUAAUUUAAAAAAGAAAACAUAUCAUUGGGCCCUAUCUUUAUUUUGGAUCCUUUCUUGCACAUGUAAUGCAAUUAACAGGAAAAACAUUUGAAAAGGCAAAUUUCAGUGCUUCUUUUAAGCAGAAUUCUGAGAAAAAGUAAGAUAAUUUUGAAUUUGAUCUGUCAGUUCUGAAUAUUCAAAAUUUAAAAAAUCAGUACUUUGUGAUAUUACAAAGCAACAUAUUUUAUUUAGGGAAAGUGCUAACAUCUAUAAAGAAAGAUCUUUAUACUUGGCUGUAUUUAGAAACUUUUUUGAUGAUUUACUCACCUAGAAUCAACUCAAUUUUGUUUUAAGAUAAAUAUUUCAAUUUCAAAUUUAAAAAUAGACAUUUAUUACAUUUAGUAUAAAAACGUUUAUUCCAUAGUAAUACACACUUCAUCUUUAUUGAGUUGUUCAUGGUUUCUUUCUUACUCUUUUAUAUACUUUGUGCAGUUGUCUGUCAUCUUCAGAAACACUUUUCAUUUAAGCUUGACCUAAUUUUGUUAAUUUUAUGCUAAUAUAAUGUUAAAGAAAUAAAAAAGAUGCUCUGUAUUCUUUGAACAGAAAAAUUUUAAAUAUAAUUAUAAUUUCAGAUUGAAAGCCCCUUCUUUCUUUUUCUUUCCUGUCUUUUGCAUUUCACACCUCUUUUUCUUCCUUAAUUGUUCUUUCAUUCUCUGUAAUCUCAGUUGGUUCAUUUUUCCAGGAGUGAUCUUAGUGUCUUAUUUAGUUGGAUGAUAAGAGAAACUAGGAAUUUAUUAUUCAUAAAAAUGAAAUAUAAAAUCUCCCUUUUCUUCAAGGUUCGGAGAUAGCUAGGCUCAACACAAAUGUCUAGAGAGAAUGCAUCUGUUGCUAUUGCAGUUUUUUUUUGUUUCUCUGAAAACUUGGCAUUGGUAAAAUAUCUAUGAUUUUGAUUCAGGUUGGCCAGAGCCCAGAUUACCAAGGAAUUACAUUUUGAACAUAUUCAACUAAGAAUUAUCUUUGUAGCAACUUUUCCUUUGCCAUAUUGAAAUUUUGGGAAUAAAAUCAGAUUUUGUUUCAAAAACUAGCUGUGUUUCUUCCUUGUGCCAGGAUGAAGUUUUUUUCUAUGUUAAGCAGGCAUAAAGAAAAGCUUGUAGUCUAUCUAAAAACAUUUUAAGCAUAUUAUGGAGGAAGAACCCCAUUAUACAUUUGACAGAACUGGGUUCAAAUGUUUGCUCUGCCUCUUAUAAUUUAUAUUAAUUUUGGGUAAGUUUUGCAUGUGAUAAAAGUAGUAGUAAUAGUUAAUAGAUUUAUGUGAAGGUUAGAUGAUCAAUAUAAAAAGUUACUUGACACAGUAGUGAUUUAUUGAAUGAUAGUGAUAUCUCUCUUGCUCUUUACUCUUUAUGCAAAUAUAGGUAUGUAUGUAUAAAUAAGUGAUUAAAUGUGUGUUUAUAUGUAUGUAUAUAUUUAUGCAUAUGUACAUGUGUAUUUUUAUGUCUCUUAGGAAGUUUAUACAAUAAUGUAUGAUAGUUUCUGUAGCCAUUUAUUGUAUUUGUUAAAUUCUAAAGCACAGAAUUCUUCUGGAAAUGAUGUAAUUCUGUAAUUCAGCAAAUAUGGAUCCUAUCAUAUGGAAAUAUUUUUAAAGUUACUAUUUCUUUGUGUCUUUUUCUGUAACUUUAUAUUAACCUAUCUUGAAUGUUUAUAAAUCUUUACAAGAAGAUAUGGAUAUUUAUGUUUUCUUAAAAAACAAAUUCCCAGGAGAAAUUGAAUGCUUUUUUCUUUAUUGUGUAAUCCAGAUAAUUACAUAAAUACUGUAUCUUGAUUAGAGUUCAAAAAGAUGUUCCACUUGAGAAGAUAUAUGGGAAUAUGGGGAACAAGAUAAUUUAUUUAUUAAAUGCCUGAAAAGAGAAAUGUCAGUUUUGACAGGAAAAAAAAUGAAAGGUGGGAGUCGAAUCUUUGUUUCAAAAUGUUCCUGCAAUUUAGUUUUCACUAAAUAGCAAAGCACCAGUUUCUUAGGGAGAUUUGUAGAGCUGUCUUCAUAACCGAUUUGGAUCUUUGUAUAAGAGUAAUUCAACAAGAGUGUAAUAUUACAUGUUCUCUUAUAAUGAUGUAGGUUUUCUAGCAUAAACCACUGUUAACAUACUAAGAAAGUAGCCUGUGUAUCUUACCAAAUAUGUUUUCUGAUUUUGUGCCUUGUGACUGCUGAAAAAUACUCAAAUCUAAACUAAGUGGCUGCUCUAAGACACUAGGGUGGAAUGUGACAUAGAAAAAGAAUGUUUAAACAUAAGGGUGAAAUCUGUCAAGCUAAGUAUCACAAAAGUUUAAACCUUGGUUUUAAGGGAUUAUUAUUUUUUAUAUGGACAACUAGUCAAAACUUGUAUAUUUCCUACAUCUCUUCAGGUUUUAAAGACAUGAUGGUAAAGACGAAAUAUCUUGUUAAACACAAAAUAUAUUUGUUAACCUCCAAAUCUGUUUGAAGGACCAGUUAGUUACCCAUUGAGCCCAUUUCCAAGUUAAUGAUGCAAAGUGUUAUCUGGGACAAGAGACUGAGUAUUCCUGGAAUUAGUCACUCUCUUUAGUGGAUACAUUUAUAAUGCAGUUUUGUGGAGCUGAUGGUUAUACUUGUGCAGUUAUUAUUACUCAUGUGCCACAUUUUUACUAUAGUUCUGGGUAAUGAUAUAAAGGAGGAAAAAAGUGGUCUUGGGUCAGAUAUUAUAGGAUAGUUUGAAAAUGUAUGUUCUCCACAAACAUAGCCUAAUAAUUACUUCCGCUUCACUCUUUCAAAUGUUUAGUGAUUUUAGAAUUGUUCAAUUUUAAACUUUCCAGUUUUGUUUAGUAAAUACCAAAGUGUUGUUUUUUCUGUAUAUUUUCGGUUUGUCUAAAGACAUUAAGUGUAUUAAGACCUAAAAACAAUCUAAAAUCAACAAACAUCAGCCAUCUCAAAUAACUUGUUAUAAAAAGCAUUAGUUAAUAUCCUGAUCUGAGCAAAUUGACAAUGAAGGUUUUUCACUAAAUGUAAUUUAAAAAUAUUUCUUCAGUGUAGAACCCAAAGUGAUACUUUCUUUAUGAUUUGGAUUUUGAAAUACUAAGCAUCCAGAAAAUAAGAGUCACUCAGAUAUCCAAAUCUGACAUGUGUUAACAUUGUUUUAUUUCUUCAGAUCUCAUUCUUUUAAGAAACACAGUAUCACACAUAUAGUAAAAAUGGUGUUCUCUCAUUCU